rnacentral:rRNA from 1 species
GAGUGGCGGACGGGUGAGUAAUGUCUGGGAAACUGCCUGAUGGAGGGGGAUAACUACUGGAAACGGUAGCUAAUACCGCAUAACGUCGCAAGACCAAAGAGGGGGACCUUCGGGCCUCUUGCCAUCGGAUGUGCCCAGAUGGGAUUAGCUAGUAGGUGGGGUAAAGGCUCACCUAGGCGACGAUCCCUAGCUGGUCUGAGAGGAUGACCAGCCACACUGGAACUGAGACACGGUCCAGACUCCUACGGGAGGCAGCAGUGGGGAAUAUUGCACAAUGGGCGCAAGCCUGAUGCAGCCAUGCCGCGUGUAUGAAGAAGGCCUUCGGGUUGUAAAGUACUUUCAGCGGGGAGGAAGGGAGUAAAGUUAAUACCUUUGCUCAUUGACGUUACCCGCAGAAGAAGCACCGGCUAACUCCGUGCCAGCAGCCGCGGUAAUACGGAGGGUGCAAGCGUUAAUCGGAAUUACUGGGCGUAAAGCGCACGCAGGCGGUUUGUUAAGUCAGAUGUGAAAUCCCCGGGCUCAACCUGGGAACUGCAUCUGAUACUGGCAAGCUUGAGUCUCGUAGAGGGGGGUAGAAUUCCAGGUGUAGCGGUGAAAUGCGUAGAGAUCUGGAGGAAUACCGGUGGCGAAGGCGGCCCCCUGGACGAAGACUGACGCUCAGGUGCGAAAGCGUGGGGAGCAAACAGGAUUAGAU